CAUGUUGAACACUGAAGUUAAGCAAUGUCAAUCCUGGUCAGUACUGAGAUAGGUGAUCACUUGGGAAUACCAGGUGCUGUAA